rnacentral:rRNA from 1 species
AACGAACGCUGGCGGCAGGCUUAACACAUGCAAGUCGAACGGGCGCAGCAAUGCGUCAGUGGCAGACGGGUGAGUAACACGUGGGAACCUUCCUUAAGGUACGGGACAACUCAGGGAAACUUGAGCUAAUACCGUAUACGUCCGAGAGGAGAAAGAUUUAUCGCCUUUAGACGGGCCCGCGUCGGAUUAGCUAGUUGGUGGGGUAACGGCCUACCAAGGCGACGAUCCGUAGCUGAUCUGAGAGGAUGAUCAGCCACACUGGGACUGAGACACGGCCCAGACUCCUACGGGAGGCAGCAGUGGGGAAUCUUGCGCAAUGGGCGAAAGCCUGACGCAGCGACGCCGCGUGAGGGAUGACGGCCUG